CCUACGGGUGGCAGCAGUGAGGAAUAUUGGUCAAUGGGCGGAAGCCUGAACCAGCCAAGCAGCGUGCAGGAUGACGGCCCUACGGGUUGUAAACUGCUUUUAUACGGGAAUAAAGCCCCUUACGCGUAGCGCUUUGCAUGUACCGUAUGAAUAAGGACCGGCUAAUUCCGUGCCAGCAGCCGCGGUAAUACGGAGGAUGCGAGCGUUAUCCGGAUUUAUUGGGUUUAAAGGGUGCGUAGGCGGAUUUUUAAGUCAGCGGUAAAAGGUCCGGGCUCAACCCGGGCCGGCCGUUGAAACUGGGGGUCUUGAGUGGGCGAGAAGUAUGCGGAAUGCGUGGUGUAGCGGUGAAAUGCAUAGAUAUCACGCAGAACUCCGAUUGCGAAGGCAGCAUACCGGCGCCCGACUGACGCUGAGGCACGAAAGCGUGGGGAUCGAACAGGAUUAGAUACCCUUGUAGUC
rnacentral:rRNA from 1 species